rnacentral:rRNA from 1 species
CCUACGGGUGGCAGCAGUGAGGAAUAUUGGUCAAUGGACGAGAGUCGGAACCAGCCAAGUAGCGUGAAGGAGGACUGCACUAUGGGUUGUAAACUUCUUUUAUAUGGGAAUAAAAUGUUCCACGUGUGGGAUUUUGUAUGUACCAGAUGAAUAAGGAUCGGCUAAAGCCGUGCCAGCAGCCGCGGUAAGACGGAGGAUCCGAGCGUUAUCCGGAUUUAUUGGGUUUAAAGGGAGCUUAGGUGGAUUGUUAAGUCAGUUGUGAAAGUUUGCGGCUCAAACGUAAAAUUGCAGUUGAAACUGGCAGUUUUGAGUACAGUAGAGGUGGGCGGAAUGCGUGGUGUAGCGGUGAAAUGCUUAGAUAUCACGAAGAACUCCGAUUGCGAAGGCAGCUCACUGGACUGCAACUGACACUGAGGCUCGAAAGUGUGGGUAUCAAACAGGAUUAGAUACCCUGGUAGUC